AAAAAAGGCGGUAUAAAAAGAGAAUAGCUAUACCUUUUACACAUUACUACAAGAACUUUUAAGCUAAAAUUUCUAAUGCAUAUACAAGUUAAUAUCUUGUAUUAUAUAGUAGAGAGAAUUUAUGAGGAACAUGAAAGCAUGCCUACACCGGGACGAUAAGCCCAAGCUGGAGGCAGACGCGCAUACUUCUCCAUGCCAGGUUGUUCG
rnacentral:misc_RNA from 1 species